UACAGAGGGUGCGAGCGUUGUCCGGAAUCACUGGGCGUAAAGGGCGCGUAGGUGGCGGCCCAAGUCCAUGGUGAAAGCUCGAUGCUCAACAUCGAGUCGGCCACGGAUACUGGGUUGCUCGAGCACUGUAGGGGCAGAUGGAAUUCCGGGUGUAGCGGUGGAAUGCGUAGAGAUCCGGAAGAACACCGGUGGCGAAGGCGGUCUGACUGGGCCAGUUGCUGGACACUGAGGCGCGACAGCGUGGGAGCAACAGGG
rnacentral:rRNA from 1 species